GAUGAAGAACGUAGUGAAACGCGAUAUGUAAUGUGAAUUGCAGAAUUCAGUGAAUCAUCGAAUCUUUGAACGCACAUGGCGCCUUCCAGUAUCCUGGGAGGCAUGCCUGUCCGAGCGUCGUUUCAACCCUCGAGCCCCCGUGGCCCGGCGUUGGGGAUCUGCCCAGGCAGUCCCCGAAAACCAGUGGCGGACCCGUUACAGGCCCUUCCCUUGCGUAGUACCAUUCGCCUCGCAUCGGGAGCCGGCGGGCUUCCAGCCUCUAAACCCCCAUCAAGUCCGCCCCGGCGGCACCAAGGUUGACCUCGGAUCAGGUAGGAAUACCCGCUGAACUUAAGCAUAUCAAUAAGCGGAGGA
rnacentral:misc_RNA from 1 species